UGUGUUCGUUUUUGUGCUGGCUCUGUGAAGCACGUUUUACCGGCCUUGGUCGCCAAGAGGAACUGGAAAGGCCUCUCAACUACAGGCCAACCUUCUUCGAGUACUGCGGUGGUCUGGGCCCUGCUUUCCCCUCAAUCUUCUGACUCCUUUUUUGCAGGGCAUGGUGAGUCGGCUGCUUCCAGAAUCAACAACGGGCAGGAGGGUUUGCUGGUAAGUUGCGUAUUUGUAUUCGAAUUGCUUAAGCAAUAAAGAGAAAAUGCAAUCGCAA